AUAAUGUUAUCGAACUUUUAUUAUAUUUGUUUUGUUAAAAUACUACGUAUGGUUAUAAAAACAUAGUAAGUAUAAAUAUAUGUAUAUUUCUCAGAAAUCCUUUAAAAAACAGGUAACUUUUCAUGCAUUAUUAUUUUUAAACAUUUUAAUUAUAUGCCAAAUAAAUACAUUUUUAACCAACCUUAGCUUCAAUAACAUAUACACUAAAAAAUUUGUAUAUAAAACAUUUUGCCAUCUGACUUCAAAUUAGCAGGUCUGAACUGAGGAUAAUAUUAAAAUUGACAUUCCAGUUAAUCCAGGAAACAGAGGAGGCCUUAGGUAUUGCAUCAGGAGUUAGGAGAGUCAGAGUUAUAACAAAGAAGAUCGUGUGGCUCCUUUGAAGAAAAAGUGAGAAUAAGCAGCAAGAUUAAAGCCAUAAAAAACUAGAAUAAUGAUUGACUCAAUUUUGAUGAACUGAAAAGGCUAUGGAUAACAAGAGUUCCAGAACUUCCUUUUCUAUGAAGUCCUGUGCCUGCUCAUUGAAAAACAAUGAAUCAGUCUAGACUUGCAAGACGAAAUAAUUCCCUCAAAGCUGGACAUUUAUAUAUUAUUUAUGUAGCAUAUUUCAAUAUUGAUGGUAUAGCCUCAUAUACAGUUGAUUGUAAAACCAUUCUUUCUGUUAGAGUAGGUAGGCAGACAUGAGCAGGGCAGGAGAAGCCCACCCACACAUACCAGGAAUGUCAAGAGAGCAUCAGGUGAUGGUCAGGCAGCUGUUAAACUGCCUCUCUAACAUAAUAAUUGAUUCCAGCUGGUACCGGUGAAAGGCAGUCUCCCAACAGAUAGAAAACACCUGAAGCUGGUGAUCAGCAGCUUUAGAAAACACGGGAAGCUGGUGAUCAGCAGCUUCCAGAUAAGAUCUCAGCACUCUAAGAGACAAGAUGGUGGAAUUUAACUAGUAUAUGACCUUUCUUUAGGAACGCUCAACUGGUAUCCAGAUGCAGAAGUCUUACUUCCUGCUUUUCUAUGACAUCAUCCUUCAGAAGGCGGGGCAUAGGCAAGAACAUGAUAAAGAACAAAUUUGCUAAAAAAUGACAUGCUUAGGAGAACUACAAAGUGUGAGAGCUUCAUGUUGGCAUCUGGCUGAAGCAAACAUGGGAAGAACACCAGCAGUAUUCAUAAGCAGAGAAUGAGACAGUCUCACUUGAACACAAAAUAUAUCAUGUUGGCCAUUUAUUUGAUGUCUAUAAAAAUAUAAACAAUUCUUUUUACCAAGAGAUCAAUUGCAGUGAACUUCUUACUAUUCUGUUUGGUUAAAAUGUACAAUGUAGAUUAAUGACAUGUAUCUCUAAUGUUGGAAAUUUAUGUAUUAAC
rnacentral:lncRNA from 1 species